rnacentral:lncRNA from 1 species
CUGGUGUCUUAGGAUAUAUUUUCUUAGAGAAACGUAUACAACAACUUGCAAGUAGGAAACCUCUCUUACUUGCCUCCAUAUUAAAUCUCUUUAAUAUGAAAUCUAUGUACGGUGACGGGAUAAGCCUAAUAUCCUUUUAGAUCUAUCUCUAUAGAUCUUUAUACUCAAUAUAUAGGAUGCUUCACCCAAAUCUUUCAUGAAAAACUUAUUCGAUAGUCAAUUCUUGACCGAUUA